GACGAACGCUGGCGGCGUGCUUAACACAUGCAAGUCGAACGGUGAAGCGCCUUCCUUUUUGGUGGGUGUGGAUGAGUGGCGAACGGGUGAGUAACACGUGAGUAACCUGCCCCCUUCUUCUGGAUAACCGCAUGAAAGUGUGGCUAAUACGGGAUAUUCUGGGUCUGUCGCAUGAUGGGUCUGGGAAAGAUAUUGUUUCGGUGGGGGAUGGGCUCGCGGCCUAUCAGCUUGUUGGUGGGGUGAUGGCCUACCAAGGCGGUGACGGGUAGCCGGCCUGAGAGGGUGGGCGGUCACACUGGGACUGAGACACGGCCCAGACUCCUACGGGAGGCAGCAGUGGGGAAUAUUGCACAAUGGGCGCAAGCCUGAUGCAGCGACGCCGCGUGGGGGAUGGAGGCCUUCGGGUUGUGAACCUCUUUCGCCAGUGAAGCAGGCCUGCCUCGUUUGUGGGUGGGUUGACGGUAGCUGGAUAAGAAGCGCCGGCUAACUACGUG
rnacentral:rRNA from 1 species